rnacentral:rRNA from 1 species
CACGUAGGGGGCAAGCGUUUGUCCGGAUUUAUUGGGCGUAAAGAGCUCGUAGGUGGCUCGGUAAGUCGGGUGUGAAAUUUCGAGGCUCAACCUCGAAACGCCACCUGAUACUGCUGUGGCUUGAGUCCGGUAGGGGAGCGUGGAAUUCCUGGUGUAGCGGUGAAAUGCGCAGAUAUCAGGAGGAACACCGGUGGCGAAGGCGGUUCUCUGGGACGGUACUGACGCUGAGACGCGAAAGCGUGGGGAGCGAACAGG